rnacentral:rRNA from 1 species
GACGAACGCUGGCGGCGUGCUUAACACAUGCAAGUCGAACGGAAAGGCCCUGCUUUUGUGGGGUGCUCGAGUGGCGAACGGGUGAGUAACACGUGAGUAACCUGCCCUUGACUUUGGGAUAACUUCAGGAAACUGGGGCUAAUACCGGAUAGGAGCUCCUGCUGCAUGGUGGGGGUUGGAAAGUUUCGGCGGUUGGGGAUGGACUCGCGGCUUAUCAGCUUGUUGGUGGGGUAGUGGCUUACCAAGGCUUUGACGGGUAGCCCGCCUGAGAGGGGGAACGGGCACAAUGGGACUGAGGGACGGACCAGACUCCUACGGGAGGCAGCAGUGGGGAAUAUUGCACAAUGGGCGGAAGCCUGAUGCAGCAACGCCGCGUGCGGGAUGACGGCCUUCGGGUUGUAAACCGCUUUCGCCUGUGACGAAGCGUGAGUGACGGUAAUGGGUAAAGAAGCACCGGCUAACUACGUG